AUUGAACGCUGGCGGCAUGCCUUACACAUGCAAGUCGAACGGCAGCACGGGGCAACCUGGUGGCGAGUGGCGAACGGGUGAGUAAUACAUCGGAACGUGCCCUGUAGUGGGGGAUAACUAGUCGAAAGAUUAGCUAAUACCGCAUACGACCUGAGGGUGAAAGUGGGGGACCGCAAGGCCUCAUGCUAUAGGAGCGGCCGAUGUCUGAUUAGCUAGUUGGUGGGGUAAAGGCCUACCAAGGCGACGAUCAGUAGCUGGUCUGAGAGGACGAUCAGCCACACUGGGACUGAGACACGGCCCAGACUCCUACGGGAGGCAGCAGUGGGGAAUUUUGGACAAUGGGCGAAAGCCUGAUCCAGCAAUGCCGCGUGUGUGAAGAAGGCCUUCGGGUUGUAAAGCACUUUUGUCCGGAAAGAAAUGGCUCUGGUUAAUACCUGGGGUCGAUGACGGUACCGGAAGAAUAAGGACCGGCUAACUACGUGCCAGCCGCCGCAGUAA
rnacentral:rRNA from 1 species